GCCUGGGUGGCUCAGUAGGUGGAGCACCCGACUUCGGCUCAGAUCAUGAUCUCAAGGUCCGUGGGUUUGAGCCCCGCGUCGGGCU
rnacentral:tRNA from 1 species